AUUGAACGCUGGCGGCAGGCCUAACACAUGCAAGUCGAACGGUAACAGGAAGAAGCUUGCUUCUUUGCUGACGAGUGGCGGACGGGUGAGUAAUGUCUGGGAAACUGCCUGAUGGAGGGGGAUAACUACUGGAAACGGUAGCUAAUACCGCAUAACGUCGCAAGACCAAAGAGGGGGACCUUCGGGCCUCUUGCCAUCGGAUGUGCCCAGAUGGGAUUCGCUAGUAGGUGGGGUAACGGCUCACCUAGGCGACGAUCCCUAGCUGGUAUGAGAGGAUGACCAGCCACACGGGAACUGAGACACAGUCCAGACUCCUACGGGAGGCAGCAGUGGGGAAUAUUGCACAAUGGGCGCAAGCCUGAUGCAGCCAUGCCGCGUGUAUGAAGAAGGCCUUCGGGUUGUAAAGUACUUUCAGCGGGGAGGAAGGGAGUAAAGUUAAUACCUUUGCUCAUUGACGUUACCCGCAGAAGAAGCACCGGCUAACUCCGUG
rnacentral:rRNA from 1 species